GUGCUCACUUCAGCAGCAUAUAUACGAAAAUUGGAAUGAUACAGAGAAGAUUAGCAUGGCACCCAUGCAAGGUUAAUACUAGUCAUAGGCAAUAGAACAAUCCAAAU